UGAUUAAAAUUUCAUCCAUUUGUACUGUUAAAAACUAGUUGGUUUACGGGAUAAUUAAGCAGUGACACUUGUACCUUAUGCUGAAAUAUAAUGAUUAAUUUUUUACAUUAGAAAUUAAUGGAAUUUUUAACA
rfam:Gossypium hirsutum cultivar TM-1 chromosome 2, whole genome shotgun sequence